rnacentral:rRNA from 1 species
GACGAACGCUGGCGGCGUGCUUAACACAUGCAAGUCGAGCGGUAAGGCCCUUUCGGGGGUACGACGAGCGGCGAACGGGUGAGUAACACGUGGGUGACCUGCCCUCAGCUCUGGGAUAAGCCUGGGAAACCGGGUCUAAUACUGGAUACGACUCCAUGACGCAUGUUGUGGGGUGGAAAGCCUUGUGCGGCUGAGGAUGGGCCCGCGGCCUAUCAGCUUGUUGGUGGGGUGAUGGCCUACCAAGGCGACGACGGGUAGCCGGCCUGAGAGGGCGACCGGCCACACUGGGACUGAGACACGGCCCAGACUCCUACGGGAGGCAGCAGUGGGGAAUCUUGCGCAAUGGGCGAAAGCCUGACGCAGCGACGCCGCGUGAGGGAUAACGGCCU